CAAUAGCGUAUAUUUAAGUUGUUGCAGUUAAAAAGCUCGUAGUUGGAUUUCGGAUGGGACUUGCCGGUCCGUCGUUUCGAUGUGCACUGGCCAGUCCUAUCUUGUUGUCGGGGACUAGCUCCUGGGCUUCACUGUCCGGGACUAGGAGCUGACGAGGUUACUUUGAGUAAAUUAGAGUGUUCAAAGCAAGCCUACGCUCUGAAUACAUUAGCAUGGAAUAACACGAUAGGACUCUGGCUUAUCUUGUUGGUCUGUGAGACCAGAGUAAUGAUUAAGAGGGACAGUCGGGGGCAUUCGUAUUUCAUUGUCAGAGGUGAAAUCCUUGGAUUUAUGAAAGACGAACUUCUGCGAAAGCAUUUGUCAAGGAUGUUUUCAUUAA
rnacentral:rRNA from 1 species